GUCACCGGGUACGGUUGUCAGUCCUUUCCUGCGCCACAUUUGGUGACCCGAACCUGGACAUAUGCAAACCUUCGGUUGGUUUCAUGGAACCCUUCCCGCCGUAAACUGUCCCCGCUGCUGGUACACCGCUGCCCGCAAUUCCGACAGCGGACCCGGCCAUUUCGGCCGCCGCCCCGCCACAGCUGCGACUUCCCCCUUUUUGGCGACCACCAGUUUCAAACCACAACUUUCCGAAAGGCGAAAGAAAAAGCUAUUGACUGCAACAAUCGGUUACAACUCCGACUGGGUGCCACCUUCGAAAGCAGCGAUUUGAUCUGUUUAUACGAAUGUUACGGAAGCAAUGCGCAACUUGUCUCACAAGAAGCCGAAGAUGUCUCGUGCGGGAUGCUGUGCCAACCUUAUCUGCAGCAGGAGAUUGCAGGGGCAGGAUUAGGCAGCAGAUAAAGGCAUUCUGGCACCACCGGAAAGCUUGCACUCCACGUCUCAACUACCACCGUCGGGGUUUCAAGCUGAAGGCUGUCACCAGUGCCAACCAGAUGCCCCUUCAAAGUUCAUCUGUUUUUGUUGACGGAACAAUGACGCCUGGUGAACCUGUCACGGAGAUGCCCUAUCCUUUGGUAUGCUUAGUUCAAGAUUGUACCGAAACAAUCCACCUGGAGCAUUAUUUUUCAAUUGACAGUGGCAUUACUAUUACAACACACCACAUGCUGCAUGUCUAAGGUGCGUGUACAAUGCAUCGAACCUAUUCUCAAGUGCAGGCGAACUGGUAUGCAAUUACAACAUGGAAAAAUUUACACAGAGGUCGUAAAGCCAUGCCUUUUCCUCCGCGCCUCGGGUUUCAUGUUGUUAUCCUCACAUGCAGCUCAUGUCGCCUGUGCUGGGCAGCAUGAGCAAAAGCACAUAUUGUUUUUGGUCACAUGAC